rnacentral:rRNA from 1 species
UACAGAGGGUGCGAGCGUUGUCCGGAAUCACUGGGCGUAAAGGGCGCGUAGGCGGUCUGGUAAGCGUGUGGUGAAAGCUCGGGGGCUCAACCCCCGAGUCGGCCGUGCGAACUGCGAGACUGGAGCAGAUCAGAGGCAGGCGGAAUUCCUGGUGUAGCGGUGAAAUGCGCAGAUAUCAGGAGGAACACCGAUGGCGAAGGCAGUUCUCUGGGCCGUAACUGACGCUGAGGAGCGAAAGCGUGGGGAGCGAACAGG